rnacentral:rRNA from 1 species
UGCAGUCGAACGCACCUUCGGGUGAGUGGCAGACGGGUGAGUAACACGUGGGAACGUGCCCUUCGGUUCGGGAUAACCCAGGGAAACUUGGGCUAAUACCGGAUACGUCCGUGAGGAGAAAGGUUUACCGCCGAGGGAUCGGCCCGCGUCUGAUUAGCUUGUUGGUGAGGUAAUGGCUCACCAAGGCGACGAUCAGUAGCUGGUCUGAGAGGAUGAUCAGCCACACUGGGACUGAGACACGGCCCAGACUCCUACGGGAGGCAGCAGUGGGGAAUAUUGGACAAUGGGGGGAACCCUGAUCCAGCCAUGCCGCGUGUGUGAAGAAGGCCCUAUGGUUGUAAAGCACUUUAAGCGAGGAGGAGGCUACUGAGACUAAUACUCUUGGAUAGUGGACGUUACUCGCAGAAUAAGCACCGGCUAACUCCGUGCCAGCAGCCGCGGUAAU